GGGAGAAGGAACUGGGAAUGAUG
rnacentral:piRNA from 1 species